UGAUAUGACGUACUUGUACUGAUGAGAUUUUAACACGAGUGAGUGCGAACGGGUGAGUAACACGUGGGUAACCUGCCCAGAAGUAGGGGAUAACACCUGGAAACAGAUGCUAAUACCGUAUAACAGAGAAAACCGCAUGGUUUUCUUUUAAAAGAUGGCUCUGCUAUCACUUCUGGAUGGACCCGCGGCGUAUUAGCUAGUUGGUGAGGUAAAGGCUCACCAAGGCAGUGAUACGUAGCCGACCUGAGAGGGUAAUCGGCCACAUUGGGACUGAGACACGGCCCAGACUCCUACGGGAGGCAGCAGUAGGGAAUCUUCCACAAUGGACGCAAGUCUGAUGGAGCAACGCCGCGUGAGUGAAGAAGGGUUUCGGCUCGUAAAGCUCUGUUGUUAAAGAAGAACGUGGGUAAGAGUAACUGUUUACCCAGUGACGGUAUUUAACCAGAAAGCCACGGCUAACUACGUGCCAGCAGCCGCGGUAAUACGUAGGUGGCAAGCGUUAUCCGGAUUUAUUGGGCGUAAAGCGAGCGCAGGCGGUCUUUUAAGUCUAAUGUGAAAGCCUUCGGCUCAACCGAAGAAGUGCAUUGGAAACUGGGAGACUUGAGUGCAGAAGAGGACAGUGGAACUCCAUGUGUAGCGGUGAAAUGCGUAGAUAUAUGGAAGAACACCAGUGGCGAAGGCGGCUGUCUGGUCUGCAACUGACGCUGAGGCUCGAAAGCAUGGGUAGCGAACAGGAUUAGAUACCCUGGUAGUCCAUGCCGUAAACGAUGAUUACUAAGUGUUGGAGGGUUUCCGCCCUUCAGUGCUGCAGCUAACGCAUUAAGUAAUCCGCCUGGGGAGUACGACCGCAAGGUUGAAACUCAAAAGAAUUGACGGGGGCCCGCACAAGCGGUGGAGCAUGUGGUUUAAUUCGAAGCUACGCGAAGAACCUUACCAGGUCUUGACAUCUUCUGACAGUCUAAGAGAUUAGAGGUUCCCUUCGGGGACAGAAUGACAGGUGGUGCAUGGUGUCGUCAGCUCG
rnacentral:rRNA from 1 species